UUUGCCAGCAGCCGCGGUUAUACUAAAAGAUUAAGUUAUAUAUAUUAAGGCUAAAAAGGUAGUUAUAUACUGAGAUUAAUUAUUUUAUUUUUUGUAUAAGGGUAAAAUCUAAUUACAAGAAAAUAAACCUAGAAUGAUUGAAAAAUUGACUCUACGAUAGCUUUGAGGGAAACUAGGAUUAGAUACCCUAUUAUUCAUAGCUGUAAAUUUAAUUGUUUAUGCCAGAGCACUAUGAAUUAAAUAUAUUUAAAACUCAAAGGGCUUGGCGGUGUUUUAGACUUCUCAGGGGAACCUGUCUCGUAAUCGACAAUCCACGUUAAACCUAACUUUCUUUUGUAUUCAGUCUGUAUAUCGUUGUCGUCAGGUAACUUUUAAAAAUUUAGAAGUUGGCAAUAAAACAUUUAAGUUUUCACGUCAAAUCAAGAUGCAACUCAUAAGGAAGUGAAGAUGGGUUACAAUUAUUAUUUAUAAUUUAUGAAUGAAAUAAUGAAAUUUAUAUGCUGAAGGAGGACUUGAAAGUAAAAUAAAUUAUAUGAACAAUUUGAAUUAAGCUCUGAAACGUGCACACAUCGCCC
rnacentral:rRNA from 1 species